rnacentral:rRNA from 1 species
CGGACGGGUGAGUAACGCGUGGGUAACCUGCCUUAUACUGGGGGAUAACAGCCAGAAAUGACUGCUAAUACCGCAUAAGCGCACAGAACCGCAUGGUCCGGUGUGAAAAACUCCGGUGGUAUAAGAUGGACCCGCGUUGGAUUAGCUAGUUGGCAGGGCAGCGGCCUACCAAGGCGACGAUCCAUAGCCGGCCUGAGAGGGUGAACGGCCACAUUGGGACUGAGACACGGCCCAA